UCCAGCAUGACUGACUGCCUUUUGGUACC
rnacentral:piRNA from 1 species